rnacentral:miRNA from 1 species
AUACCGAGCGGACUCCGUCGCC